GAGGAGUUUUAUUCUUGCUCGUUUGUUCAUUGUUUGUUUGUUCUAUAUGUAAGUUUCUGCGUGUUUGUUGUCUCCUAGCUCUAGAUGGGCUAAGGUGGGUGUUGUGGGGUUUAAGUUAUUCUCAUUAGUUGUUAUUAUUUAUCAAGUAUUCUUGUAGUUAGUAAUACAUUUUAGUUUCGGUUAAAUUUUGUGCCAGCAGCCGCGGUUAUACCUUGGAUGCAGUUGAACGUGUUUGGCUUAUGGUAGUUUUAUGAUUUGAGUUGUUGUGGUUUUAUAUUGGUGGGUGGUUGGGUGAAAUUUUUACUUUUGUUGUUUUCCUUAAUUUUAUGUUUGGAGGCUAUGAAAUUCUUUUUUUAAACUAGGAUUAGAUACCCUAUUAUUUUAGGAUGUUAAUUUUUGUGCUUGAGUAGUAUUAGUUAUGUUCUUGAAACUUAAAGAAUUUGGCGGUAUCUUAUUCCGUUCAGAGGAAUCUGUCUCGUUAUCGAUAGUCCGCGUUGGACCUUACUUAGUUGCUAUGGUUUGUAUACCGCCGUUUGUUUGAAUAUGCUUUUAGGGUUCAUUAAUUUUCUAGUUCCUUUAUUUUGAUUUAUUUCAGGUCAAGGUGCAGCUUGUUUCUAAGUGUUAUUGAUGGAUUACAUUGGUUUUUGUUUGUUUGGAUUGUUGAAUUGGUAUAUUUGCAUGAAAUUGGAUUUGAUUGUAAUGUUUUGUAGAUUGUUUUCGUGAUAUUUGGUUCUAAGAUAUGCACACAUCGCCCGUCGCUCUCGUUUGUUGUCAAUGAGAUAAGUCGUAACAAAGUGGUUGUACCGGAAGGUGCGGCUGGAGUGAUU
rnacentral:ncRNA from 1 species